rnacentral:rRNA from 1 species
GUGUCAGCAGCCGCGGUAAUACGUAGGGUGCGAGCGUUGUCCGGAAUUACUGGGCGUAAAGAGCUCGUAGGUGGUUUGUCGCGUUGUUCGUGAAAACUCACAGCUUAACUGUGGGCGUGCGGGCGAUACGGGCAGACUGGAGUACUGCAGGGGAGACUGGAAUUCCUGGUGUAGCGGUGGAAUGCGCAGAUAUCAGGAGGAACACCGGUGGCGAAGGCGGGUCUCUGGGCAGUAACUGACGCUGAGGAGCGAAAGCGUGGGGAGCGAACAGGAUUAGAUACCCUGGUAGUCCACGCCGUAAACGGUGGGUACUAGGUGUGGGUUUCCUUCCUUGGGAUCCGUGCCGUAGCUAACGCAUUAAGUACCCCGCCUGGGGAGUACGGCCGCAAGGCUAAA